rnacentral:rRNA from 1 species
UUGUCAUAUGCUUAUUUCAAGGACUAAGCCAUGCAAAUGUCAGUGGACCUGAGUUUGACUCGGGGGGACUGUGUACGGCUCAUUAAACGGUUUAUAGUCUACCCAACGGAGUCAGCAUUCGUGCUGACCAACGGGAUACCUGCCCUAACUGGGCGGCUAAUACCUGGAAGACAAAUCCACGACCGUCCAACCACUCGCAAGGGAAACCAAGCGAGUGGGGUCGCGGAUGCUAUUGGCCGGAACAGAAACCAACGCCUUUACGGGCAGUUGCAAUUGUUGACGCAGGCCAAUGUAGCGGAAGCGCCGGUUCUUCGGUGCGUCGUUGGACGAAUACACCACCUAUCAGGUCUGAAGGUAGUGUAGUGGACUACCUCGCCUCUGACGGGUAACGGGGGAUUGGGGUUCGAUUCCGGAGAGGGUGCCUGAGAAACGGCAACCAUGGCUACGGCCAGCAGCAGGCGCGCAAAUUGCCCAAUGCUAACACCUAGCGAGGCAGCGACGAAAAAUAGUACUCCUGCUACCAAUUGGUUGCGGGAUGCAAUGGAUUGUAUCUAAUAGACACUGCUGAAAGCUAUU